rnacentral:rRNA from 1 species
AACUAACGCUGGCGGCGUGCCUAACACAUGCAAGUCGUACGAGAAAGUUGGCUUCGGCUGAUGAGUAAAGUGGCGCACGGGUGAGUAAUGCGUGGAUAAUCUACCCUUUAAUUCGGAAUAACGUACCGAAAGGUGCGCUAAUACCGGAUAAUACUGAGUGACUACUGUUGCUUAGUCAAAGAAGGCCUCUGUUUACAAGCUUUUGUUAAAGGAUGAGUCCGCGUACCAUUAGCUAGUUGGUGGGGUAAUGGCCUACCAAGGCUACGAUGGUUAGCUGGUCUGAGAGGAUGAUCAGCCACACUGGAACUGAGACACGGUCCAGACUCCUACGGGUGGCAG